rnacentral:rRNA from 1 species
AAAGGGCGGGGUGCUAUACAUGCAAGUCGAGCGGACCUUUUAAAAGCUUGCUUUUGAAAGGUCAGCGGCGGACGGGUGAGUAACACGUGGGCAACCUGCCUGUAAGACUGGGAUAACUUCGGGAAACCGGAGCUAAUACCGGAUAAUAUAAGGAACCUCCUGGUUCUUUAUUGAAAGAUGGUUUCGGCUAUCACUUACAGAUGGGCCCGCGGCGCAUUAGCUAGUUGGUGAGGUAAUGGCUCACCAAGGCGACGAUGCGUAGCCGACCUGAGAGGGUGAUCGGCCACACUGGGACUGAGACACGGCCCAGACUCCUACGGGAGGCAGCAGUAGGGAAUCUUCCACAAUGGACGAAAGUCUGAUGGAGCAACGCCGCGUGAGCGAUGAAGGCCUUCGGGUCGUAAAGCUCUGUUGUUAGGGAAGAACAAGUGCGAGAGUAACUGCUCGCACCUUGACGGUGCCUAACCAGAAAGCCACGGCUAACUACGUGCCAGCAGCCGCGGUAAUACGUAGGUGGCAAGCGUUGUCCGGAAUUAUUGGGCGUAAAGCGCGCGCAGGUGGUCCUUUAAGUCUGAUGUGAAAGCCCACGGCUCACCCGUGGAGGGUCAUUGGAAACUGGGGGACUUGAGUGCAGAAGAGGAGAGUGAAUUCCAAGUGUAGCGGUGAAAUGCGUAGAGAUUUGGAGGAACACCAGUGGCGAAGCGACUUUCUGGUCUGUAACUGACACUGAGCGCGAAGCGUGGGGAGCAAACAGGAUUAGCAUACCCUGGUAGUCCACGCCGUAAACGAUGACUGCUAGUGUUAGAGGGUUCCGCUCUUUAUGCUGCAGCUACGCAUAGUCACUCGCCUGGGGGAGUACGGGUCCGCAGGAGCUGAUACUCAAGACUGACGGGGGGCCCGCACAAGCGGGUGGAGCAUUGGUGGAUUUUAAUUCGAGCACCGCGAGACUUACACGGUCGUGGACGUCGUCUGAACCUCCUAAGGAUUGAACGUCCAUCGUGGACGAUGAAGUGUUCAUGGUGUCUCGUCGGUCCUGAAGAAUCU